UUGGUAGGUGUUUUAAAGCCACUGAGAAAAGAACAAAUUAAAACAGAGUAUUUCAUCCCUGGGAAUCAUCUUAAAGUUACAGUGUAUAGAAUGAGACAUGGAAUUAGCACAGAGAAGUUUAAACAAACAAUAAAACAAAGAAAAUUACAUGAUCACAUCUAAAUAGACAUUCCCUUUCUACUCACUUAUCUGCUUCAAGGUCCAGUCCAUUUCCAUGCCCAGUAUUCUUUGUAGGCAUGGUAGUCCUGCCUGGUUACAUUCAUCUUGUUCCCUCAGCUCCUGUCUUAAACUCACACAAAGGGAAAAUAAAGCAAACAGGGUUUCUUUCAUUUAAAAUCUCAGUACCUUCUCCCAUUGGCUCUGCUGGCUCCCUGCCAACUCCACCUACCUACCUGAAUUUAAUCCUUUAGACACCAAAUGCCCAGAAAAGGACAGCACUCCUCCUAUCCAGCACAACUGGUCAGCCUAUUAGCAUUCACAUUUAAAUGCUAGUCUACAAUUGCUAAAAAGGAGGACCCUGCUAUGCACCGUUGGACAUAUGCUAAAUCAUACAACAUUUACCCCAAUUUCCGGCCCACUCCCAAGAAUUCCCUGUUGGGUGCAUUGUUUGGGUUAGGACCCCUUAUCUUCUGGGGGUACGUCUUCAAAACUGAGAGGGAUCAUAAAGAGAAGCUUAUUCGGGAAGGCAAAUACAAGCGACCAUUUGCUCUCAGCUCCUAAGUCCCUGGAAAUUGGAUAUUGCACAGUUGCUGUUGGGUUAACCAUAGACAGUGCUGUAUAUUGUACAUUGAUGAAAAGACUAAUCAUCUAUCAAAAUAAACUUUAUUUCAGCCAUAUGA